UACGGAGGGGGCGAGCGUUGUUCGGAAUUACUGGGCGUAAAGCGCACGUAGGCGGCUUUGUAAGUUAGAGGUGAAAGCCCGGGGCUCAACUCCGGAAUUGCCUUUAAGACUGCAUCGCUCGAAUUGUGGAGAGGUAAGUGGAAUUCCGAGUGUAGAGGUGAAAUUCGUAGAUAUUCGGAAGAACACCAGUGGCGAAGGCGACUUACUGGACACAUAUUGACGCUGAGGUGCGAAAGCGUGGGGAGCAAACAGG
rnacentral:rRNA from 1 species